UUUUUGAGAACACAGCAUUCAGUCCAUAAUACCAGUAGGUAUUUGCCAGACUGCUGCUAAGUGGAAAAGGAUAUAUAGGAAGCGAGAUAACAUCGACUAGACUUGGAUUAAAACGAAGCCUGUCUCACUUCCUAGUCAUGCGGACCUGAACAGAUUUCCUGUCCAUGAAUUGGGGCAAGCAGUGCUUACAAGACAAGGCAAAAUGAGAAUCAAAUGACAUAAUCUCCUGGUACUUUCCAGACAAUAUGGGGACAGCUGGGAAGGAAGUGGGUCAUCUGACUAUCAGGAUCAGACCGGUUGAAGCAGUGAUCACCUCUUGCCCUCACUCAUCAGCAUGAGCACCUUCCUGACUUCCCCCCACACUGUAAAAAUAUGUCUCUGUGCUUUGGCUCCUCGUCUCUAACUUCAUCAUGCAGGGUUUACCCACAGCUCAGACCUCCUCACCUACAAUGCAGCUUCCCAACACUAAUCUUUCUGAAUCUUACAAAAUAUCUGUUCCACAAGAGAUGUCACUUUUCAUUCACUAAUUUUGCAAAUAUCAACUGUUUUAUGUAAAAAAUUUCUAAGAUAAAACACCAAUAAAAGACUAUUAUUUCUACGAGAGCUGUUUUGACGGGAGUGAUAUAUGAAAUCGAUUCUAUUCUGACUCAUGACA
rnacentral:lncRNA from 1 species